rnacentral:rRNA from 1 species
UACGUAGGCAGCAAGCGUUGUUCGGAAUUACUGGGCGUAAAGAGUGUGUAGGCGGUGCUCUAAGUUUGGUGUGAAAUCUCCCGGCUCAACUGGGAGGGUGCGCCGAAAACUGGAAUGCUUGAACAUGGGAGAGGAAAGCGGAAUUCCUGGUGUAGCGGUGAAAUGCGUAGAUAUCAGGAGGAACACCUGCGGUGUAGACGGCUUUCUGGACCAUUGUUGACGCUGAGACACGAAGGCGUGGGUAGCAAACAGG